rnacentral:rRNA from 1 species
GGUUAAGCGACUAAGCGUACACGGUGGAUGCCCUGGCAGUCAGAGGCGAUGAAGGACGUGCUAAUCUGCGAAAAGCGUCGGUAAGGUGAUAUGAACCGUUAUAACCGGCGAUGUCCGAAUGGGGAAACCCAGUGCAAUUCGUUGCACUAUCGUUAACUGAAUACAUAGGUUAACGAGGCGAACCGGGGGAACUGAAACAUCUAAGUACCCCGAGGAAAAGAAAUCAACCGAGAUUCCCCCAGUAGCGGCGAGCGAACGGGGAGCAGCCCAGAGUCUGAAUCAGCUUGUGUGUUAGUGGAACGGUCUGGAAAGUCCGACGGUACAGGGUGAUAGUCCCGUACACCAAAAUGCACAGGCUGUGAACUCGAAGAGUAGGGCGGGACACGUGGUAUCCUGUCUGAAUAUGGGGGGACCAUCCUCCAAGGCUAAAUACUCCUGACUGACCGAUAGUGAACCAGUACCGUGAGGGAAAGGCGAAAAGAACCCCGGCGAGGGGAGUGAAAAAGAACCUGAAACCGUGUACGUACAAGCAGUGGGAGCACCUUCGGGUGUGACUGCGUACCUUUUGUAUAAUGGGUCAGCGACUUAUAUUCUGUAGCAAGGUUAACCGUAUAGGGGAGCCGCAGGGAAACCGAGUCUUAACUGGGCGUUAAGUUGCAGGGUAUAGACCCGAAACCCGGUGAUCUAGCCAUGGGCAGGUUGAAGGUUGGGUAACACUAACUGGAGGACCGAACCGACUAAUGUUGAAAAAUUAGCGGAUGACUUGUGGCUGGGGGUGAAAGGCCAAUCAAACCGGGAGAUAGCUGGUUCUCCCCGAAAGCUAUUUAGGUAGCGCCUCGUGAAUUCAUCUUCGGGGGUAGAGCACUGUUUCGGCUAGGGGGUCAUCCCGACUUACCAACCCGAUGCAAACUACGAAUACCGAAGAAUGUUAUCACGGGAGACACACGGCGGGUGCUAACGUCCGUCGUGAAGAGGGAAACAACCCAGACCGCCAGCUAAGGUCCCAAAGUCAUGGUUAAGUGGGAAACGAUGUGGGAAGGCACAGACAGCCAGGAUGUUGGCUUAGAAGCAGCCAUCAUUUAAAGAAAGCGUAAUAGCUCACUGGUCGAGUCGGCCUGCGCGGAAGAUGUAACGGGGCUAAACCAUGCACCGAAGCUGCGGCAGCGACACUAUGUGUUGUUGGGUAGGGGAGCGUUCUGUAAGCCUGCGAAGGUGUGCUGUGAGGCAUGCUGGAGGUAUCAGAAGUGCGAAUGCUGACAUAAGUAACGAUAAAGCGGGUGAAAAGCCCGCUCGCCGGAAGACCAAGGGUUCCUGUCCAACGUUAAUCGGGGCAGGGUGAGUCGACCCCUAAGGCGAGGCCGAAAGGCGUAGUCGAUGGGAAACAGGUUAAUAUUCCUGUACUUGGUGUUACUGCGAAGGGGGGACGGAGAAGGCUAUGUUAGCCGGGCGACGGUUGUCCCGGUUUAAGCAUGUAGGCUGAUUAUCCAGGCAAAUCCGGAUAAUCAAGGCUGAGGUGUGAUGACGAGGCACUACGGUGCUGAAGUAACAAAUGCCCUGCUUCCAGGAAAAGCCUCUAAGCAUCAGGUAACAUCAAAUCGUACCCCAAACCGACACAGGUGGUCAGGUAGAGAAUACCAAGGCGCUUGAGAGAACUCGGGUGAAGGAACUAGGCAAAAUGGUGCCGUAACUUCGGGAGAAGGCACGCUGGUGUGUAGGUGAAGCCCCUGCGGGUGGAGCUGAGACCAGUCGAAGAUACCAGCUGGCUGCAACUGUUUAUUAAAAACACAGCACUGUGCAAACACGAAAGUGGACGUAUACGGUGUGACGCCUGCCCGGUGCCGGAAGGUUAAUUGAUGGGGUUAUCCGUAAGGAGAAGCUCUUGAUCGAAGCCCCGGUAAACGGCGGCCGUAACUAUAACGGUCCUAAGGUAGCGAAAUUCCUUGUCGGGUAAGUUCCGACCUGCACGAAUGGCGUAAUGAUGGCCAGGCUGUCUCCACCCGAGACUCAGUGAAAUUGAACUCGCUGUGAAGAUGCAGUGUACCCGCGGCAAGACGGAAAGACCCCGUGAACCUUUACUAUAGCUUGACACUGAACAUUGAGCCUUGAUGUGUAGGAUAGGUGGGAGGCUUUGAAGCGUGGACGCCAGUCUGCGUGGAGCCAACCUUGAAAUACCACCCUUUAAUGUUUGAUGUUCUAACGUUGGCCCCUUACCGGGGUUGCGGACAGUGUCUGGUGGGUAGUUUGACUGGGGCGGUCUCCUCCCAAAGCGUAACGGAGGAGCACGAAGGUUAGCUAAUCCUGGUCGGACAUCAGGAGGUUAGUGCAAUGGCAUAAGCUAGCUUGACUGCGAGCGUGACGGCGCGAGCAGGUGCGAAAGCAGGUCAUAGUGAUCCGGUGGUUCUGAAUGGAAGGGCCAUCGCUCAACGGAUAAAAGGUACUCCGGGGAUAACAGGCUGAUACCGCCCAAGAGUUCAUAUCGACGGCGGUGUUUGGCACCUCGAUGUCGGCUCAUCACAUCCUGGGGCUGAAGUAGGUCCCAAGGGUAUGGCUGUUCGCCAUUUAAAGUGGUACGCGAGCUGGGUUUAGAACGUCGUGAGACAGUUCGGUCCCUAUCUGCCGUGGGCGCUGGAGAAUUGAGGGGGGCUGCUCCUAGUACGAGAGGACCGGAGUGGACGCAUCACUGGUGUUCGGGUUGUCAUGCCAAUGGCACUGCCCGGUAGCUAAAUGCGGAAGAGAUAAGUGCUGAAAGCAUCUAAGCACGAAACUUGCCCCGAGAUGAGUUCUCCCUGAGACUUUAAGUCUCCUGAAGGAACGUUGAAGACGACGACGUUGAUAGGCCGGGUGUGUAAGCGCAGCGAUGCGUUGAGCUAACCGGUACUAAUGAACCGUGAGGCUUAACCUU